rnacentral:rRNA from 1 species
CCUACGUGUGGCAGCAGUGGGGAAUAUUGCACAAUGGGGGAAACCCUGAUGCAGCGACGCCGCGUGAGUGAAGAAGUAUCUCGGUAUGUAAAGCUCUAUCAGCAGGGAAGAAAAUGACGGUACCUGACUAAGAAGCCCCGGCUAACUACGUGCCAGCAGCCGCGGUAAUACGUAGGGGGCAAGCGUUAUCCGGAUUUACUGGGUGUAAAGGGAGCGUAGCCGGCGGUGCAAGUCCGGAGUGAAAGCCCAGGGCUUAACCAUGGUACUGCUCUGGAAACUGUGGAGCUGGAGUGCAGGAGGGGCAGGCGGAAUUCCUAGUGUAGCGGUGAAAUGCGUAGAUAUUAGGAGGAACACCGGCGGCGAAGGCGGCCUGCUGGACCGUAACUGACGUUGAGGCUCGAAAGCGUGGGGAGCAAACAGGAUUAGAUACCCGGGUAGUC